CUGUUCCUACCUUCCCUAACUCUCCAUAGUCCUCCUGUAGUGACUCUGUUCCUACCUUCCCUAACUUCCAUUGUCCUCCUGCAGGUGACUCUGUUCCUACCUUCACUAACUCUCCAUUGUCUUCCUGUAGUGACUCUGUUCCUACCUUCCCUAACUCUCCUGUGUCCUCCUGUAGUGACUCUGUUCCUACCUUCCCUAACUCUCCAUUGUCCUCCUGCAGUGACUCUGUUUCCUACCUUCCCUAACUCUCCAUUGUCCUCCUGUAGUGACUCUGUUCCUACCUUCCCCAACUCUCCAUUGUCCUCCUGUAGUGACUCUGUUCCUUACCUUCCCUAACUCUCCAUAGUCCUCCUGUAGUGACUCUGUUCCUACCUUCCCCUAACUCUCCAUUGUCCUCCUGUAGUGACUCUGUUCCUACCUUCCCUAACUCUCCAUUGUCCUCCUGUAGUGACUCUGUUCCUGGAGUUCUGGAAGCGUCGGCAGGCCCGUCUGGAGUAUGAGUGGGACCUGGUGGACUUCGAGGAAGAGCAGCAGCAGCUCCAGCUGCGACCGGAGUACGAGACCAAGUGUACCAGCCGCAGACUUAACCGCGUCACACAGGAGAUGGAACCAUACUUUCCCGCAAAAUCCCAGUGUGCUCGUACAUUCCUGUCUGGAGCCACCGUCAUAUUCUGGAUCUCCCUGAUCAUAGCGUGUAUCAUCGGGGUGAUAGCGUACCGUCUGGCGGG